AGUCGGUUAGAGGCUCAUGGGACUCUGUACUGCUUGAUCCUAGAUCCUGCCUUUCCAAGCAGAACUCAGAGACUUAUUUCGAGUGUUACCAAGCUCACAGGACUUUUCAAACGACCCAUGAAGUCCUGCGCCUUCUUACGAAACUCCUCGUUUUUGGUGGGGGCAGCCUUGCUCUCCCUGUUCUUAGUGAUACUAAAGCUUCCACGCAAAGAGGAAAGGCCAGCUCUGACGAACCAGAAUUUAGGAGGCAAGGAGGUGACCAGUUGUUUCCUCUUUUACAAGGACGCUUUGGGGAUGAGUCAGGAGGGAGCUCCAGGGAGUUCAUGGAUUCCAGAUGUUUCUAACUAGCCCCGCCUGUGGGGUUGUCUGUGGAUCUGAGGCACACAGCAGCUUUUAGAAGGUUGGCUGUCCUCUGCUUCAGGACAGUGCUGGAAGACAAAUAAUACACUCUGACUACUUGCUGUGUUGUGUCCCGCACAAGUACAGAUUUGUCUUUUAAGUCCUGAAACUGAUGAGGGCUCCCAGGUGAUGGGGUGAAUUGUGGGCCUGGGGACACACCAUUGAGCACUCUUCUUUUACUGGUGGGCCAGCCCAGCCACACUUGUUAAUAGUCCCAAGUUCUUGAACCCUUAUAUUGCCUGCCUGUCUGCCUUCCCACCUCCCUCUCUCCCUUCCUCCUUCCUGUUUUUUGAUACGAUGUCUCAUAUAGCCUAGGCUUCAAACUUGCUAUGUAGUUGAAGAUAAGUUGAACUUCUGAUCCUCCUGCCCCUAACUUCUAACAACUAGAUUUUGAGGGGUGAACUGUUAUGCGUGGCCCAAAGCCUUGAAACUGGAGUUACAGAUGGUUUUGAGUCGUCAUGUGGAUGCUAGAAAUCAAACCUGGUUCACUAAGGAGCGGGCUCUUAUCUUAGCCUCACGACUUGUUACCAGUCACUUUUUGUCUUAGUGAUCUGUCUUAAUUUCCUUUUCUGUAGCUGUGAUAAAAUACCAAGACAGAAGCAGGUUAAGCAGAAAGUGUUUGGGCUGCAGUUUGAGGUUGCAGUUUAGCAUGACAGGGAAGUAACAGCAGUAGGCUUGAAGCAACUGGCCCACAUGGCAGGUCAAGGAUUAGAGAGUGAUGAAUGCUGGUCCUCAGAUAACCCCUUCUAUACUCCAGGAUCCGAGCUAGGCCAGAGAAUGGUGCCACACAGAAGGAGUUGGUCUUUCCAUCUCAAUUAACCUAAUCAAGAUAAGCCCUCCCGUACACCCAGAGGUUCACCUCAUGGGUGAUUUUAGAUCUUAUCAAAUUGCAAAUUGAGAUGAACAGUCCCGAUCCCUGACCAAAGCAACUUAAAGAAGGAAGAAAUAUUUGGCUUAUAGUUCAAGGGAAUACAGUACCGUCAUGAGGCAGCAGGCAUGGCAGUAGGGCUAGGAGGCAGCUGACCAACGAGUGCCAGAGGCAGUCAUGAGGUUAAUUGCACAAAUUAGCUCCUCUAUUCACAUUGAUCCAAACAAAACUGCAAUCUCCUGGACAGAGGGGUGUGGACAAUGAUUUUGGUGUGGAUAGUGGAAGGCAGGAUUCUGCUUCCAGAGCAAUUCUGCAUGUCAGAAAGUUGGAGCAGCAGCAGAGGUAGCAGCUUCAGCAGAGGUAGCAGCUGCGGCAGUGGCAGCAGUGGCAGCAGCAGCAGCACUGGCACCGGCACUGGCAGAGGCAGCGGCAGUGGCAGCAGUGGCAGCAGUGGCGGCAGCAGCAGCAGCACAAGGAGCUGCUAGGCUAGAAGCACAGAGCUGAGCUGAGGCCAUGCAUCUUUUCACACUCACUGCAGGGCUGGGCCUGCUCUCUGUGGUUCGAGCCACGAUGCCUCCUCUGACUCCACUGAGGGUAGCAACUGGCUUCCAAGCUCAGACCUUGGACUGGGUGUGUCUCAGGCCUGCAGAUGGAAGCCACAGGUGAUGUUGAAAAAAAUACCUCUCUUACGUGCUUGGUGGGAUCUUCUCAGGUGGGAGUGGGGCUUGAGCAGGUGUUCCAGGCCAUGGUCAUGUCUUUCUUCUCACUGUGUGCACUUAGAGACUAAGAGGCUGCUGGGGGACAGGGGAGGCUUGCUAGAUGGACGCUGUCCUGGCUCUAGCUGGACUCCCAAGAAUAGCCUUCCUUCCUUCCUUUCUCUCAGUGUGUGUGUGUGUGUGUGUGUGUGUGUGUGUGUGCUUCAGAGACACUUCUUAUAUUCUUCCAAUGAGUUGAUUUCAGAUUUCAUCCUGGGUAAGGCCCCUGUGACUGUUGUGUAUCUGGGAGACAGAGCCAACUUCCUAAUGAUUUCAGGAGAAACUGAGAUGAAGCAGACCGUGGUCAGUCGGUACAGUCAUGGUUCUCUCAGGUCACCUCCUCAGCCAUGUCCAUUCUGCCCUGUCCUCCGGCUCAGCUCCCUGAAGUGAAAGGUCAACCUGUCCUCCAGAUCACCUUUCUCAGUUCCCUCUGGAUGCCUGUGCAGGGUCUGUGGUCAGGGCUCUUCCCAGGAAGUGUUUCUCCUAGGANACCAGGUGACCUCUUCAUGAGGUCAGAGAUCUAACUUGCUGUGGUCUAUGCCCAUGCUGAAUAGGGUGAGAGGAUCUCUUGCACAGGAUUGCUUGCUUCAGGAGAGGCCAGCAUGGGUCCCAGAAAUAAGAAUGGGGAAGAACUAGGUGCCCUGGGGAGAGCCAUACUUGGACCCUGUGUUCUAGGAAACCCAUUGGCUGUAUUCAGUACAAGCUGCCUCUGUAUGAGGGAGAGGACCCUGGUAUGUUCCUCACAGGGUGGAGGCAUGUCAUCUACAUCCAUUUCCUGCCUGGGAAGGAGUCUGCCAUUGCCUACUUCAGGGGCAACAUGAACUAUCAGUACUACCAGCUGCUGCUGCUCAUGGGCCGCACCCUGAGACCUAACCCAGAUGCUGAGAGGAUCUUCAAGGAGUCUGUGAUGAGUAUAAUGCCCCAAACUGGAAGGAUAAUUACCCCUCCCCAUGCUGGUAGGGAAGGAUUUCCUCGUCCCCUCUCUCCUUUCUCCUCACUCAGGCUUGUGCUCUGGAUAUUUCUCUUAUACACAAGAAACCACAUGAACAGCAUCAUGUUUCAUAGCUCAUCUAAGUUUUCUGGUUUUUGUCCCUCUACAGAAGCCUGUGUGUUUGUCCUAGACCCCCAGUGCACUAAGGGAGUGCUGCAGUAUCCAUGCAGAAAGCAGGAGAUGGGACCUGGCUGACCCAGAGGUGCAGACACCCACAUGUAGAACUCUCAGUGUCAAAGAGCACAGGGCCUAACACCCACUCCUCCCCCAAGUCUGCAUUCAAUAAAUUCGGUGGAUAUCACUCAA
ensembl:antisense Snhg7os small nucleolar RNA host gene 7, opposite strand